AAAUUGAAGAGUUUGAUCAUGGCUCAGAUUGAAUGCUGGCGGCAGGCCUAACACAUGCAAGUCGAACGGUAACAGGAAACAGCUUGCUGUUUCGCUGACGAGUGGCGGACGGGUGAGUAAUGUCUGGGAAACUGCCUGAUGGAGGGGGAUAACUACUGGAAACGGUAGCUAAUACCGCAUAACGUCGCAAGACCAAAGAGGGGGACCUUCGGGCCUCUUGCCAUCGGAUGUGCCCAGAUGGGAUUAGCUAGUAGGUGGGGUAACGG
rnacentral:rRNA from 1 species